CCUAUUCAUGCUUAAUUUGUGUUUAUUUUAGAGAUGUCUUUUGUUUAUUUUGUGAUAGUUGUGUAUAUUUCAUCCAAAAUUAGUAUUUAUCCUUCAUUCUUACUGUUUAUCUAGGGUGAAGCCUAAAGUGAUUCAAAGUUGGGUUGACAUUUGAGUUUAUUUCUAUAGUGUUUCUAUUUAUUAUUGCAAAUUAAAUAUUCAUUUUGGAGAGUUUCUAUUUAUUCCGGAG
rnacentral:lncRNA from 1 species